CCUACGGGUGGCAGCAGUGAGGAAUAUUGGUCAAUGGGCGCGAGCCUGAACCAGCCAAGUAGCGUGAAGGAAGAAGGCUUUCGGGUUGUAAACUUCUUUUAAGGGGGAAGAGCAGAAGACGGUACCCCUUGAAUAAGCCACGGCUAACUACGUGCCAGCAGCCGCGGUAAUACGUAGGUGGCAAGCGUUGUCCGGAUUUACUGGGUGUAAAGGGCGUGCAGCCGGGAAGACAAGUCAGAUGUGAAAUCCACGGGCUCAACCCGUGAACUGCAUUUGAAACUGUUUCCCUUGAGUGUCGGAGAGGUAAUCGGAAUUCCUUGUGUAGCGGUGAAAUGCGUAGAUAUAAGGAAGAACACCAGUGGCGAAGGCGGAUUACUGGACGAUAACUGACGGUGAGGCGCGAAAGCGUGGGGAGCAAACAGGAUUAGAUACCCCUGUAGUC
rnacentral:rRNA from 1 species